rnacentral:rRNA from 1 species
AACAUAACCUCUGUCGUUGCUUCGGCGGGCACGCCCGCCGGAGGUUCAAAACUCUUAUUUUUUUCAGUAUCUCUGAGCCUAAAAGACAAAUAAUCAAAACUUUCAACAACGGAUCUCUUGGUUCUGGCAUCGAUGAAGAACGCAGCGAAAUGCGAUAAGUAAUGUGAAUUGCAGAAUUCAGUGAAUCAUCGAAUCUUUGAACGCACAUUGCGCCCGCCGGUAUUCCGGCGGGCAUGCCUGUUCGAGCGUCAUUUCAACCCUCAAGCCUCGGCUUGGUGUUGGGGCGCCCGGGCCCUCCGCGGCCCGGGGCCCCCAAGUUCAUCGGCGGGCUCGUCGGUACACUGAGCGCAGUAAAACGCGGUAAAACGCGAACCUCGUUCGGAUCGUCCCGGCGUGCUCCAGCCGCUAAACCCCCAAUUCUUUAAAGGUUGACCUCGGAUCAGGUAGGAAUACCCGCUGAACUUAAGCAUAUCAAUAAGCGGAGGAA